AACGAACGCUGGCGGCAUGCCUAACACAUGCAAGUCGAACGAGACCUUCGGGUCUAGUGGCGCACGGGUGCGUAACGCGUUGGAACCUGCCCUGAGGUUCGGAAGAACGCCCCGAAAGGGGUGCUAAUACCGGAUAAUGUCUUCGGACCAAAGAGUGAUAGACGUUGGAUGGGCCGGAGUUGGAUUGGCUAGUUGGUAGGGUAAAACCGUACCAAGGCGACGAUACAUAGCUGGUCUGAGAGGAUGAUCAGCCACACUGGGACUGAGACACGGCCCAGACUACUGCGGGAGGCAGCAGUGGGGAAUCUUGGACAAUGGGCGAUAGCCUGAUCCACCACUGCCGCGUGAGUGAUGAAGGUCUUAGGGUUGUAAAGCUCUUUUACCCGGGAUGAUAAUGACAGUACCGGGAGAAUAAGCUCCGGCUAACUCCGUG
rnacentral:rRNA from 1 species